CGGGGUGCAGCAGGCGCGAAACCUUUACAAUGCACGCAAGUGUGAUAAGGGGAUCCCCCGUGCUCAUGCACAGCAUGGGCUUUUGCCAAGUGUAAAUAGCUUGGCGAAUAAGUGGUGGGUAAGACUGGUGCCAGCCGCCGCGGUAACACCAGCGCCACGAGUGGCAACCGCGUUUAUUGGGCCUAAAGCGUCCGUAGCCGGCUCGGUAAAUCUCUUGUGAAAUUGUGCAGCUCAACUGUACACCGUGCAAGAGACACUGCCGGGCUCGAGACCGGGAGGAGUCAGACGUAUUCCAGGGGGAGCGGUAAAAUGUUAUAAUCCCUGGAGGACUACCUGUGGCGAAGGCGUCUGACCAGAACGGAUCUGACGGUGAGGGACGAAAGCCAGGGGAGCGAACCGGAUUAGAUACCCGAGUAGUCCUGGCCGUAAACGCUGUGAGCUACGUGUUGCAUCAACCACGAGUUGAUGCAGUGUCGAAAUGAAGGUGUUAAGCUCACCGCCUGGGAAGUACGGUCGCAAGACUGAAACUUUAAGGAAUUGGCGGGGGAGCACCACAAGGGGUGCGGCGUGCGGUUUAAUCUAACUCAACGCAGAGAACCUUACUAGAAGCGACGGCAGGAUGAAGGCCAGCUUGAAGAGUUUGCCUGACAAGCCGAGAGGUGGUGCAUGGCCGCCGUCAGCUCGUGCUGUGAAGUGUCCAGCUAAGCCUGGCAACGAGCGAGACCCCCCC
rnacentral:rRNA from 1 species